rnacentral:rRNA from 1 species
GCGCAAACGUGAGCGCGUAAAAGGCGGAACCGGCAGUUGCAUUACUCGAGCCUGCCUGGCGCACGACGGACGACGCACGCAGAGUAUUCAAAGGUGGGUGGUGCAAGAGGCGGUGCUGAGGGGUCGAGAGUUUAAGGAGUUUGGUACCGGCGGCGCCGGAGUGCCGUGGAGACGAGGCGGUGCCGCGACGACAGGGGGAGGCGGCGGCGCCGCGGGUAGGCGGUCUCCCAGCCGAUGCCGAGGAGGAGGUUGGCGGCCACCGACACGGCGGCCACCCGGGUGCCCGGCCUACGGCGCAGGGCCUAGGCCGCGGACUGCUGAGCGAGCUCCUGUCGCUCCCACUCGACGCGGAUAAGGUGGCCGCGACUUCGUUAGUGACGUACAAGGACCUUGGUUUUACAGUAGACGUCACUACACGGACACGAACACCUCAAAACCCGGAGUACCACACCUGGAACAUUUUACCAGGUAGCUUAACAGCUGCUCUAACGCCGGCUUAUACUACCUUCUUAUUUCACGAUAUUCGAACUGUGACUACUAAUGGGUGUUUGACGUUAAAGGAUGUUAUAACUCUCCCAAGGCUGACAAAAUGAUAAGUUCCUACCUCUCUUUUAUGUAUCAUAAUGACCUUGAGACGGUUUUCGGCAAAUACACUCCCGGUAACUCUUAAGAAAGAAUCUUGUCACUGGUAAAACCAAUGUUGCAAUAUAACAAUGAACCAGGUCUAAGUAUAGGGUAUAUGAACUAAAAAGUGACGGUCGAUCACCUUUCUCAUCCCUUCCAUUUCAACCUCAAUGUUGAACUCGAAGAACAAUAGGGAAUCGAUGUGUUGAAUGACAUUUAUAACUACAUCAAGACUUUUUUUUUCCUAACGACCUGGAGAAAUAAAAUGGAACUCCCAACAUUACUUAGUACUAACAAUAGUAACUACACUUUGUCCCUGCUUAUAAAUUCCGGGAAUCUUUAUAGAACAAUUUACUUCAGUUUAAUUCUAAAGGCAAUAUGAAAUGAAAUACAUGGAGUGUAACAGACAAAAAGAAGAAGAAAACGUGGGGAAUACAUAGUUGUAAAAGCACGAUAAAAAGUCUCGAUCUCAUUUAUGAAUUAGUAAAUCAAGGAUAUAUGUCUUAGUAGAUUCUAGAUUGGAUAAGUUCAAAUAGAAGACUUUUCCAAAUAGGGACAAUACAGUCACGUUAACAACAAAGACACCCCGACGAUUAUGGCUCGAUUAACAGGGUCCAUUGAGAAGUUCCGUACAAACUAAUUUGGAGAGGAUAAUAAGUAACAGAGAUUAGACAUUAUAUAUAGAUCUGAAUUGUCCGAUUUGGAACCAAUACUACGUAUUGAAAAUAAAAUAAUGGGAAAUCAAACGGAUCCCACAUUAUAAAUCGAGAGCAACCCGACUGUUUCUUCUGGGUGUGUGUUCCAUUUCCGACCGCUUCUUUUUCUGAUCUUAUAACCGUUCAUGAAACCGUCCGCCAUAGUUGUCCGACAACGGUACCUAAAAAUUGGAAAGGUACGACUUCUGAUCACGUAUCAUUCAUCAACUCUCACCGAACUCACCUUGGUUACCAUCCUAUGUUAUCUGAACGCAAGGAAUCUCUAACUUAACGAAUAAUAACUAUUAUAGGUUGACUUAAUUAAGCUAAUAGAGUAAAAAGCACCUGUCAUCGUGUCAACGUCGACGAGGAUGUCACCAUGACAAACCGAUCACCGAUGUACAUAAAUGGGAUGGAAAGCCUUAAACUCGAUACAUGUCAUCGGAAGACUCCUCCAUAUCGUGUUAUUAUACUAACCUUAAAGACCACUAGUGGUCUUACAAGUCCAUCUGGAUUUACGUCGACUUGGUGUAGUUCACGGUGUACUACCGCUAGUUUCAAGACCACUAGCAGACUACUGACGGACUGAAUUUAGUUAAACGGCUUCAGACAAAAAAGAGGUUGCCAUAAGUCAAACCUCGAGACUUCAACAGACUCGAAAUGAAUUUUAAGUCAGAUUACGAUGUGAACCAACAUCUUCCAUGACCUCAGACCUAACUUCGAAAUCUGCGUCCACCACGUAGUCCACGAAUGUGAAAAAAAGCCCAAAUCCUGAACCUAGUAAGUAUACAUAACAUUGUUGGUAGGUGAAACGGGAAAAGACUUCAAAAUAAACAUAGGGAGUACCGUUAUAGUUAUUGUAGACCUUUUCAUCUGUUAGUGAAAAGUAGUAAAAAGAAUACG